GGCCUGAUAGCUCAGUCGGUAGAGCAGAUGACUGAAAAUCAUCGUGUCCUUGGUUCGAUUCCGAGUCAGGCCACCA
rnacentral:tRNA from 1 species